UUAUCACAAUUCUACGGAAAUCGAGAUGGUUUUUCCCCUGAUAACAAAAGGUAAACCUUCUCUAGCAACAAUAAAUACAUAGUACUCUUUUUCACUUUCCCACAUCUUGCUACAAAGAAAAACAAACAGACCCAUUUGUUCUCUUUCAUUAUCAGUGCAAACAAUCAAUUUCCACCGCCGACACAUCUUCUAACAAACCCAGAAUGUAAAACACCGGAUUUUACUUUCUACUCUUUGUUUUUCUUCUUUCUCUUUACUUUCUUAGGUGCUGUUUGAUCAUAAAAAUUAUUCACUUUUUUUUGAUUUUUUUUUUGUAUUUUUGGGCGUUUGACUAUAAAUAUUCCGAAUAUAACUUGAAGUUGUAUUCCGAAAUAUUAAAAAUUUAAAAAAUUUAUUCUUUUUUCACUUUUUUACGAGUACAUUUCACCAAAAAUUACAAUUUAAAAAAGUAUGGCCAAACACAACUCCAACUUUAAAAAUUUCAAAAAAAGUAAAUUUAUUUUUGAUAUUUAUGGCCAAAUAGCACCUUAGUCUUUAGAUGAAUGUAGGGUCCUCUUCUUGUUCAAAUCUCUCUUUUCCCUCUGGUCAAUUUUACUUUCUGUCCAUAAAUUAAAAGAAAAAGAAAGGCUUGUGUGAGAAGAACACAUUCAGGAUCACAAUUUGGUCGAAGACAAAAUUUUGAGCCUGAGCCUUCAGAAGGUUACAAAUCAGUGGUAGAAGAAUUUGGAAUGUAUUUUCUGCCCACUGAUGGAGAUCUGGCACUAGAGAUGAUGCAAAAAAUCAACUAUUUGGGAUAUGAGUCAUUUGUACCAAGUCCAGGGCCUUAUGUUCGAGAGGUGGUUUUAGAAUUUUAUGCAAAUAUGAAUGCUCAGGAGGAAACUUCAAGAGUUCGAGAUCCGAGUAGUGGCAGAUUAGUGCAGGCUUGUAUCCAACACCGGAAUUUCCUCUGUACCACCAACAACACUCAAUAUGCAUAAAGAAGGUGGGUCAAAUAAAAUUUUCAUACCAUUUAGCAUGUAGCCUCUCUCCAUGUGGUCAGAUGUUGUCACAAUUCCAGAAAUGAAUACUGCAAAUCCUGCUAAUUUCUAUGGCGAAGGACCCUCCGUUCCUCCCGAAAAUCAGGGAAAUGAAAACUUUGAUGCUGCAUUUAACUUUCUCACUGGUGAAGGUACUGGAACAUGUAGUCAUUGAAACUUGAAUUAUUCAUUCAGGAAAAUGAAUAAUUUAAGUGUGGGGAUGGUAAAAACUCUACUCUACUUUUUCUAUGUGAUAAUCUUAUGGUCUACUUUAUGUAGUUGGAAAUGUUGGUAGUCCUUUUUGGUGCUGGUUGUUUUUGAAAAUGUUGGUGAUGUGUUGAUGUUAGUUGAAAGAAGAAGAAGAUUUUUUGGUUGACAACAGCUAACAUCUUUUUUGAAAAUAGCCAUAAGAGGAAGCUUGUACAUUGUUUAACCUUAUGGUUAGUAUGUUGGUGCUAGUUGAAAGAAGAAAGAAACGCUUGAUUGGCAGCAUGUAACAUCUUUUUGCUGUAAAUAGCCAUAAAAGGCAGCUUGUACCUGUUCGUUUUAGUGUGAAAAUGUCAAAUGACAAACCUUGUAAUGAAAGUUUAACUGCA